CCAGACUCCUACGGGAGGCAGCAGUGGGGGAUAUUGGACAAUGGGGGGGACCCUGAUCCAGCGAUGCCGCGUGAGGGAAGAAGGUUUUCGGAUUGUAAACCUCUGUGGACAGGGACGAUAAUGACGGUACCUGUCAAGAAAGCCACGGCUAACUACGUGCCAGCAGCCGCGGUAAUACGUAGGUGGCAAGCGUUGUCCGGAUUUACUGGGUGUAAAGGGCGUGCAGCCGGAGAGACAAGUCAGAUGUGAAAUCCACGGGCUCAACCCGUGAACUGCAUUUGAAACUGUUUCCCUUGAGUGUCGGAGAGGUAAUCGGAAUUCCUUGUGUAGCGGUGAAAUGCGUAGAUAUAAGGAAGAACACUAGUGGCGAAGGCGGAUUACUGGACGAUAACUGACGGUGAGGCGCGAAAGCGUGGGGAGCAAACAGGAUUAGAUACCCCUGUA
rnacentral:rRNA from 1 species